rnacentral:rRNA from 1 species
GAUGAACGCUGGCGGCGUGCCUAAUACAUGCAAGUCGAGCGAACGGACGAGAAGCUUGCUUUUCUGAUGUUAGCGGCGGACGGGUGAGUAACACGUGGAUAACCUAACUAUAAGACUGGGAUAAUUUUGCGAAACCGGAGCUAAUAGCGGAUAAUAUUUUGAACCUAAUGGGUCAAAAGUGAAAGACGGUCUUGCUGUCGCUUAUAGCUCGAUCCGCGCUGCAUUAGAUAGUUGGUAAGGUAACGGCUUACCAAGGCAACGAUGCAUAGCCGACCCGAGAGGGAGAUUGGCCAGACUGGAACUGAGACACGGCCCAGACUCCUGCGGGAGGCAGCAGCAGGGAAUCUUACGCGAUGGGCGAGAGCCUAAUCGAGCAACGCCGCGGGAGGGCUGAAGGUGUUCGGAUCGGAAAACGAUGUUAUUAGGGAAGAACAUAUGUGUAAGUAACUGUGCACAUCUUGACGGUACCUAAUCAGAAAGCCCCGGCUAACUACGUG